CACAGAAAAACGUGACAGUAGAUCGUGCUUUGUGAGUCUCACCCUCUUCCUACGAAAAUAUGUCCUUCAGUCUCUUUUGAAAGGAAGCAGUCAAAAGUUUGCUAAAUAUACGAAAAGGAAUUCUCAGUCGAGAGGGGCUUCCUGCUGCACUGGAGUAUCUAAUGAGCUGUGCACACGGAAACCUCAGGGAAGGAGAGAACCUGUCAUGUUCACGGGCUGUAAACACAGCCUGAGAUUAACACUGUGCAGACAUCCCCGCUCCAGUGUGGCUGCUACAGCUGAAACAAUGUAGUGUUCCUCAUGACCAGGAUGAUCCAG
rnacentral:lncRNA from 13 species